CCUACGGGUGGCAGCAGUGAGGAAUAUUGGUCAAUGGACGAGAGUCUGAACCAGCCAAGUAGCGUGAAGGAUGACUGCCCUAUGGGUUGUAAACUUCUUUUAUAUGGGAAUAAAAUGUUCCACGUGUGGGAUUUUGUAUGUACCAUAUGAAUAAGGAUCGGCUAACUCCGUGCCAGCAGCCGCGGUAAUACGGAGGAUGCGAGUGUUAUCCGGAUUUAUUGGGUUUAAAGGGUGCGUAGGUGGAUUGUUAAGUCAGUUGUGAAAGUUUGCGGCUCAACCGUAAAAUUGCAGUUGAAACUGGCAGUCUUGAGUACAGUAGAGGUGGGCGGAAUUCGUGGUGUAGCGGUGAAAUGCUUAGAUAUCACGAAGAACUCCGAUUGCGAAGGCAGCUUACUGGACUACAACUGACACUGAGGCUCGAAAGUGUGGGGAUCAAACAGGAUUAGAUACCCGGGUAGUC
rnacentral:rRNA from 1 species